UGAUCCUGGCUCAGAACGAACGCUGGCGGCAGGCCUAAUACAUGCAAGUCGAGCGCGCCCUUCGGGGUGAGCGGCGGACGGGUGAGUAACGCGUGGGAAUAUGCCCUUCUCUAAGGAAUAGCCUCUGGAAACGGAGAGUAAUACCUUAUACGCCCUUUGGGGGAAAGAUUUAUCGGAGAAGGAUUAGCCCGCGUUAGAUUAGGUAGUUGGUGGGGUAAUGGCCUACCAAGCCUACGAUCUAUAGCUGGUUUGAGAGGAUGAUCAGCCACACUGGGACUGAGACACGGCCCAGACUCCUACGGGAGGCAGCAGUAGGGAAUCUUAGACAAUGGGGGCAACCCUGAUCUAGCCAUGCCGCGUGUGUGAUGAAGGCCCUAGGGUCGUAAAGCACUUUCGCCAGAGAUGAUAAUGACAGUAUCUGGUAAAGAAACCCCGGCUAACUCCGUGCCAGCAGCCGCGGUAAUACGGAGGGGGUUAGCGUUGUUCGGAAUUACUGGGCGUAAAGCGCACGUAGGCGGAUUAGUAAGUUAGAGGUGAAAUCCCAGGGCUCAACCCUGGAACUGCCUUUAAUACUGCUAGUCUUGAGUUCGAGAGAGGUAAGUGGAAUUCCGAGUGUAGAGGUGAAAUUCGUAGAUAUUCGGAGGAACACCAGUGGCGAAGGCGGCUUACUGGCUCGAUACUGACGCUGAGGUGCGAAAGUGUGGGGAGCAAACAGGAUUAGAUACCCUGGUAGUCCACACCGUAAACGAUGAAUGCCAGACGUCAGCAAGUAUACUUGUUGGUGUCACACCUAACGGAUUAAGCAUUCCGCCUGGGGAGUA
rnacentral:rRNA from 1 species